CAAGAAGUGACAGAGAAGGUGCCAUGUACAAAGAGAAAUGCCGUAGAAUGACUGAAUUGUGAAUUUCUUCUAAUUCCCAGUAAGAAGAAAAUGACCACAAAAGGAGGUGGUAGUUGGGGGAAGAGGAAGACAGUGAGGUUUAGAAGACUUGUGAAGCUUGCCCAGGGUCACAGGAAGUGACACAAAAUGUUCCAAAUGUUUCCAUGGGCCAAAGAAGAACAACAGGAAUUUUCCCGGCCUGAAACAUAUGGAAAUGAAAGGAUGUCACGAACCCUGAAGACAGGAUGUCAUUGGCAGCAGCGAAACUAAGUCUUCUUAACUGAGUACAGUGUUCAGGUGGAAGACGUUAACUGUGUGCUGUCCACAAGCACACAGACCCCAGACCAGGUGGAACCAGAAGAUCGGAUGAUGUUGACUCCCGAUUAUCUCACCAUCGACCAAUCAGAAGAAUGUCCACCAGCUGAUCACACACUUCACGACCCCCUUUUGCAACCUGCCUUUAAAAAUCUUUCCCUGAAAGCCUUCAGGGAAUUCGGGCCUCUUAAGCUCUGGUUACCCGAACUUCCUGCUUGAAGCCCUACA